AUUGAUACAUACUUCACACAUAUGUAAUUGAUACAACUCCAUUAGACAUAUGUAUAUUAAGUUCACAUUUUGGUGCCUUGAUCUAGUUCAUUGAUGUCAAUGACCUCA